rnacentral:rRNA from 1 species
GACGAACGCUGGCGGCGUGCUUAACACAUGCAAGUCGAACGGUGACGAGGAGCUUGCUCCUCUGAUCAGUGGCGAACGGGUGAGUAACACGUGAGCAAACCUGCCCCAGACUCUGGGAUAACAGUUGGAAACAGCUGCUAAUACCGGAUACGAGACGGAGAGGCAUCUCUACCGUCUGGAAAGUUUUUCGGUCUGGGAUGGACUCGCGGCCUAUCAGCUAGUUGGUGAGGUAAUGGCUCACCAAGGCGACGACGGGUAGCCGGCCUGAGAGGGCGACCGGCCACACUGGGACUGAGACACGGCCCAGACUCCUACGGGAGGCAGCAGUGGGGAAUAUUGCACAAUGGGCGAAAGCCUGAUGCAGCGACGCCGCGUGAGGGAUGACGGCCUGGUGUAACGUCUUCUGCAGGGAAGAAGACGGAAAGUAGACGGUACCGUACGCGAGAAGAAGACGACCGGCGUAACUACGUAGCCACGCAGCCGCGGUAAAGCGUAACG